rnacentral:rRNA from 1 species
GACGAACGCUGGCGGCGUGCCUAAUACAUGCAAGUCGAGCGGAACUGGGGGAGCUUGCUCCUUCCAGUUUAGCGGCGGACGGGUGAGUAACACGUGGGCAACCUGCCCUGCAGAUCGGGAUAACUCCGGGAAACCGGUGCUAAUACCGAAUAGUUUGGCGCCUCUCCUGAGGCGCUACGGAAAGACGGUUUCGGCUGUCACGUCAGGAUGGGGCCGCGGCGCAUUAGCUAGUUGGUGGGGUAACGGCCCACCAAGGCGACGAUGCGUAGCCGACCUGAGAGGGUGACCGGCCACACUGGGACUGAGACACGGCCCAGACUCCUACGGGAGGCAGCAGUAGGGAAUCUUCCGCAAUGGACGCAAGUCUGACGGAGCAACGCCGCGUGAGUGACGAAGGUUUUCGGAUCGUAAAACUCUGUUGUGAGGGAAGAACACGUACCAACUAACUAUUGGUACCUUGACGGUACCUCACCAGAAAGCCACGGCUAACUACGUGCCAGCCGCCGCCGUAA